rnacentral:lncRNA from 1 species
UGUCCAACUAGUGCAACCCAGGACGGGCAGAACCCGGCCCCACCCGCCUGGGGCCACCAGGAGGUGUCACUGCCUGGGCUUGUGUGCCUUCUCUCCUGAUACUUCUGUGCCUGGUACAGAGCCUGCCAGGGGGCAGGCGCUUGAUGAUCAAUUUGUUGAGCAAAUGAAGCAAACCUGGCAAGUGGCCAAGGUCCCAGCUCCAUCCCUGGUGCGUUGCCUGGCAUUCUGUCCCUGAGGGCCCUUCUUCCUGCACUGAACCCCCUCCGGCUCUGAAGGAAGUGGGUACCCACCCCAACCUGUAUGGGAAGGACUUUGUCCAUUUGCUGGGGACUUACUGCACGCCAGGACCCCAGGCUGGAAGUGCAAUGAGCAUCUUCAUGUUACGGAGGUGGACUGAAGAUCAGAGAGGAAAAGACUUGCCCAAGGCCACCCAGCAGCCCCCAGGAUUCUAACUCAUCUGUCCUUGCGGAUUCUGAAGGCUGGGCUUUUAUUUAUGACACCAUCCUGGGCCCCUUAUGCUGGGGUCGUGCUUCAACAGCCAGGUAUGAUAAGUGGGUGCCUCUUCAUUCCCUGCUCUAGCG